rnacentral:rRNA from 1 species
GAUGAACGCUGGCGGCGUGCCUAAUACAUGCAAGUCGAGCGAACAGACGAGGAGCUUGCUCCUCUGACGUUAGCGGCGGACGGGUGAGUAACACGUGGAUAACCUACCUAUAAGACUGGGAUAACUUCGGGAAACCGGAGCUAAUACCGGAUAAUAUAUUGAACCGCAUGGUUCAAUAGUGAAAGACGGUUUUGCUGUCACUUAUAGAUGGAUCCGCGCCGCAUUAGCUAGUUGGUAAGGUAACGGCUUACCAAGGCAACGAUGCGUAGCCGACCUGAGAGGGUGAUCGGCCACACUGUAACUGAGACACGGUCCAGACUCCUACGGGAGGCAGCAUUAGGGAGUCUUCCGGAAUGGGCGAAAGCCGGACGGAGCAACGCCGCUUAAGUGUUGAAGGUCUUCGGAUCGUAAAACUCUGUUAUUAGGGAAGAACAAAUGUGUAACUAACUAUGCACGUCUUGACGGUGCCUAAGCAGAAAGCCACGGCUAACUACGUC